AUUGAACGCUGGCUGCAGGCCUAACACAUGCAAGUCGAACGCGUGGCGGACGGGUGAGUAAUGUCUGGGAAACUGCCUGAUGGAGGGGGAUAACUACUGGAAACGGUAGCUAAUACCGCAUACCAUCGGAUGUGCCCAGAUGGGAUUAGCUAGUAGGUGGGGUAAAGGCGCACCUAGGCGACGAUCCCUCGCUGGUCUGAGAGGAUGACCAGCCACACUGGAACUGAGACACGGUCCAGACUCCUACGGGAGGCAGGAGUGGUGAAUAGUGCACAAUGGGCGCAAGCCUGAUACAGCCAUGCCGCGUGUAUGAAGAAGGCCUUCGGGUUGUAAAGUACUUUCAGCGGGGAGGCGUUACCCGCAGAAGAAGCACCGGCUAACUCCGUGCCAGCAGCCGCGGUAAUAC
rnacentral:rRNA from 1 species